UAAAUUUAUGUUCGGGUCAGUCCCGUUUAAAUUCUGUUCGGGUCAGUCCCGUUUAAAUUCCUGUUCGGAUCAGUCCCGUUUAAAUUCCUGUUCGGGUCAGUCCCGUUUUAUUUUUCAUGUUCGGGUCAGUCCCGUUUAAAUUCCUGUUCGGGUCAGUCCCGUUUAAAUUCCUGUUCGGGUCAGUCCCGUUUAAAUUCCUGUUCGGGUCAGUCCCGUUUUAUUUUUCAUGUUCGGGUCAGUCCCGUUUAAAUUCCUGUUCGGGUCAGUCCCGUUUAAAUUCUGUUCGGG
rnacentral:lncRNA from 1 species